ACUCAAAUGAAUUGACGGGGACCCGCACAAGCGGUGGAGCAUGUUGUUUAAUUCGACGCAACGCGAAGAACCUUACCUACGCUUGACAUGUCUAGUUUGGUUAUCAGAGAUGAUUUCCUUCAGUUCGGCUGGCUAGAACACAGGUGCUGCAUGGCUGUCGUCAGCUCGUGUCGUGAGAUGUUGGGUUAAGUCCCGCAACGAGCGCAACCCUUAUUGUUAGUUGCCAUCAUUUAGUUGGGCACUCUAGUGAGACUGCCGGUGAUAAGCCGGAGGAAGGUGGGGACGACGUCAAGUCAUCAUGGCCCUUACGCGUAGGGCUACAAACGUGCUACAAUGGUAGUGACAGUGGGCUGCGAGGCAGUGAUGCCAAGCAAAUCCUUAAAAGCUAUCUCAGUUCGGAUUGUACUCUGCAACUCGAGUACAUGAAGUUGGAAUCGCUAGUAAUCGUGGAUCAGCAUGCCACGGUGAAUACGUUCCCGGGUCUUGCACACACCGCCCGU
rnacentral:rRNA from 1 species